UGAGGAAUAUUGGUCAAUGGGGGCAACCCUGAACCAGCCAAGUCGCGUGAAGGAUGAAGGUCUUAUGGAUUGUAAACUUCUUUUACACGGGAAUAAAGCGGGGGACGUGUCCCUCUUUGCAUGUACCGUGUGAAUAAGGAUCGGCUAACUCCGUGCCAGCAGCCGCGGUCAUACGGAGGAUCCGAGCGUUAUCCGGAUUUAUUGGGUUUAAAGGGUGCGCAGGCGGGAUGUUAAGUCGGCGGUGAAAUUUUGCAGCUCAACUGUAAAAGUGCCUUCGAUACUGGCCUUCUUGAGUGUUGAUGAAGUAGGCGGAAUUUGUGGUGUAGCGGUGAAAUGCUUAGAUAUCACGAGGAACUCCGAUUGCGCAGGCAGCUUACUAAGCCACAACUGACGCUCAUGCACGAAGGCGUGGGGAUCAAACA
rnacentral:rRNA from 1 species